GCGGUUUGUUAAGUCAGAUGUGAAAGCCCGGGGCUCAACCUCGGAACCGCAUUUGAAACUGGCAGGCUAGAGUCUUGUAGAGGGGGGUAGAAUUUCAGGUGUAGCGGUGAAAUGCGUAGAGAUCUGAAGGAAUACCAGUGGCGAAGGCGGCCCCCUGGACAAAGACUGACGCUCAGAUGCGAAAGCGUGGGUAGCAAACAGGAUUAGAUACCCUGGUAGUCCACGCCGUAAACGCUGUCUACUUGGAGGUUGAGGUUUAGACUUUGGCUUUCGGCGCUAACGCAUUAAGUAGACCGCCUGGGGAGUACGGCCGCAAGGUUAAAACUCAAAUGAAUUGACGGGGGCCCGCACAAGCGGUGGAGCAUGUGGUUUAAUUCGAUGCAACGCGAAGAACCUUACCUACUCUUGACAUCCAGCGAAGCCUUUAGAGAUAGAGGUGUGCCUUCGGGAGCGCUGAGACAGGUGCUGCAUGGCUGUCGUCAGCUCGUGUUGUGAAAUGUUGGGUUAAGUCCCGCAACGAGCGCAACCCUUAUCCUUGUUUGCCAGCGAGUAAUGUCGGGAACUCCAGGGAGACUGCCGGUGAUAAACCGGAGGAAGGUGGGGACGACGUCAAGUCAUCAUGGCCCUUACGAGUAGGGCUACACACGUGCUACAAUGGCAGAUACAGAGGGCAGCGAGACAGCGAUGUUUAGCGAAUCCCUUAAAGUUUGUCGUAGUCCGGAUUGGAGUCUGCAACUCGACUC
rnacentral:rRNA from 1 species